CCUACGGGAGGCAGCAGUGAGGAAUAUUGGUCAAUGGACGAGAGUCUGAACCAGCCAAGCCGCGUGAAGGAUGACUGCCCUAUGGGUUGUAAACUUCUUUUAUAAAGGAAUAAAACGAGGCACGUGUGCCUUUUUGCAUGUACUUUAUGUAUAAGGAUCGGCUAACUCCGUGCCAGCAGCCGCGGUAAUACGGAGGAUCCGAGCGUUAUCCGGAUUUAUUGGGUUUAAAGGGAGCGUAGAUGGGUUGUUAAGUCAGUUGUGAAAGUUUGCGGCUCAACCGUAAAAUUGCAAUUGAUACUGGCAGUCGUGAGUACAGUUGAGGUAGGCGGAAUUCGUGGUGGAGCGGUGAAAUGCUUAGAUAUCACGAAGAACCCCGAUUGCGAAGGCAGCUUACUAGACUGUGACUGACAUUGAUGCUCGAAAGUGUGGGUAUCAAACAGGAUUAGAUACCCCAGUAGUC
rnacentral:rRNA from 1 species